UGAAAAGUGAAAAUAAUUCAUCUACCUCAAUUCAUUCUUCCAAGUUCCUUUCAAUUUUCUUCAUUCUUCAUUCUUUCAAGAAGUGGGCAGCGAAUUCAGACGGGCAGUGAAUUCAGAGGCCAGCCGCCAGCGAGUUCAGAGUCUUCAGACGGCCAACGAGUUCAGACGGCCAGCGAUCGGCGACCAGCUGACCACUAAUCAGUGGAAGUAUAGCAUGUUCAAUUCAAUAUGAAGAUUGGGAUAAUAUGAGGAAUGUCACAAAGUUUCUUGAAAAAUUUUAUGAGCUCAGUUUGAAAGUUUCAGGUUCACGAGAUGGAAAAUAGUGGAAGAAACUCUUCCAUUGUUGAUAUAUGAUUGACUUGCAAGGGGUCCAAGAGUCAAGACAAUGAAGAAGACGUACAGUACUAAGUUUUAUUAGUAAUUUUGUUGACAUGUGACACUUGAAAGUUGAAAGUGGUCUCAUGGAAGAAGGUCAAGAAAACUCACUAUUUUUGUUUGUUAUUGUUUACAUUUGAAUUGAAAGUGAUCUCAUGGAAGAAGACAAGAAGUUUAAAAUACAUUGCUUGUUGCUCAUUAUUGUUUAUUAUGUUGGCACUAGAAUUCUAGAAAGUUGAAACUUGAAAGUGGUCUUAACUCUCAUGGAAGACUGUAUUGUUACUUGUUAGAUUGUUAUUAUGUUGUAUUUUUGAAGACAUUAACUACAAUGCACUUUUGUUUUAGUGACAUGUUAAUUAAAAAUUGUGUGUUUUAGUGACACUA